AGCUUUGCUUGACUAUCUCUUUCGAUUUAUUGAAUUUAUUUGCCGGUUAUAGAUGAAAAAAGAUCUUUUAAACCUCGAAGAAAAAUUAUGGAACAAAGACACCUUAUGAAUCAAUAGUAUAUAUCAGUGAAUUGAUAUUAGUUAAUAGUUUUUGGAAACAGUACCAUGUACUAUUAAAGUUUCUAUUUUUUAAAAUAUAUGAUACAUUUAUAUGAAACAUACAAACAAAUGAUACAAUAUGAUACGUGAUUGACUAUAAUUAUGUUGUAUAUCAGAAUGUUUUAUAUAAAUGCCUAUUACAUUUUAUUGUGAUUUUUAUCUUUUAUGCCCAGUUAGCAAUGCAUUUUGUGUAGCAAUGUCUACUAAUCUCAGAUAUCUAUGACAUCUGUAGGGUGUAUUCACCGCUACAGAUGUCAUAAUCUAUUUAUAACCAAUUGCUUUUACUCUUCCAUAAUGUCAUAAUUUAAAAAGAAUCACAUUAUGGAAAACCGUCUAAUGCAUACACAUGAGGAACCAUUAUACUUUUAGUACAACCAAUUAUAUUACAUUUGUUUUCUUAUUUUAGAUGAACUUUCUUACUUCGGUUCACUUCGGUUCACUUCGGUUGGAGGAGAUGAGAAACAACUUACAGCGGCAAUCUUAACACAGCUAAUGGCCGAAGAAGUAUGCUUUUCAUACUCAGUGUAUGGAAUGAAACAAAAACGUCCUGCAAGGUCGUUAUAAAGUUGCGUAUAGUCGUUUAUCGUUGUGUUCGUUCAUUUCGAAAUCGCUACUGACAAAAGUAUUAAAGAAAAAAUUGGCAGCUUUCUGGCGACGGCCAUUAAUAGAGAUUACGGAA